GGCGAACGCUGGCGGCGUGCUUAACACAUGCAAGUCGAGCGGUAAGGCCCUUUCGGGGGUACACGAGCGGCGAACGGGUGAGUAACACGUGGGUGACCUGCCCUCAGCUCUGGGAUAAGCCUGGGAAACCGGGUCUAAUACCGGAUAUGACUCCAUGACGCAUGUUGUGGGGUGGAAAGCCUUGUGCGGCUGAGGAUGGGCCCGCGGCCUAUCAGCUUGUUGGUGGGGUGAUGGCCUACCAAGGCGACGACGGGUAGCCGGCCUGAGAGGGCGACCGGCCACACUGGGACUGAGACACGGCCCAGACUCCUACGGGAGGCAGCAGUGGGGAAUCUUGCGCAAUGGGCGAAAGCCUGACGCAGCGACGCCGCGUGAGGGAUGACGGCCUGGU
rnacentral:rRNA from 1 species